CCGUGCCUUUCGUGACAAAUUGGAUUACUGAUAUAAUCCAAUUGUAGUGUUAUAUGUGUUUCUAUAUACGUAAAUCUAUAUAUAUAUGUGGGUGUGUGGGUGUGUGUUUGAUUGUUUGCGUGUAUACAGAGUCACAGACACACUACAAGACUGAUGGUGGUUGAUUUAUCGUGCCAUUUGAGUGUUGGAGUUUCUCAUCACAUCCGCUCAUUUUCCAUGACAUCUUUUCUGGCAACCUCUCCUAAUAUUUCUGAGAAAUUAAUGGUUAUGUGAAGGCUUCGGAUGAAAAGAAGGUCGAGUUGGGAACUCCAUCACAGAAAUGUUUCCUUCCCUUUCUCAUCGGCAUGCCAAACUGGUAAAUUUUGAUUCGACUUAUUCCCAAUUAAAUAUUUAAUCUUAUUUAUAUUGUAUCUUUUUUGGAGGCUCGAGAAGGGAUUCAUUAGCUCCAAAUAUUCAAAUUUGGGCCAGCAGUUAGCAAAUUGUUUAUAGCCUUCUCACCAUGGCUUUAGUUUGGUGAGGUGGAUAUUGAGGGUUCAUUGGUUGCUAGUAUUAUUUUAAACAAGAUAGAUUUGGUGACUGAGGCUGACUUGGAGGUGUUGACAAAGCGAAUUCAGCAUAUCAAUGGGAUGACACAGUUAAAGCUGGCUAAAUAUGGCGUUGUCGACAUGGACUUUGUUUUGGGAGUG